CAUGAGUUUGAGUGAACUCCGGGAGUUGGUAAUGGACAGGGAGGCCUGGUGUGCUUCGAUUCAUGGGGUCGCAAAGAGUCGGGCACGACUGAGCGACUGAACUGAACUGAACUGAACAGAACACUUACUAAGGAAACAAUCCUCAUUAGAACCACAGAAUGUCCAGGGCAAGCCUUGAAGGGACUUGCCUUAUUUUGUGAAUGAGUAAGCUGAGGUCCAGAGAAGUUAAAUGACUUGUCCAAAAUCAAACAGCCGGGCAGUGGCAGAGAGAACUAAGGUGCAAGCAGCUCUGCUCCAGCACAGUGUUCUCUCCAGCUCUGUGCUGCCUGGCCAGUUAAGAGCAAUAAAAACCAAUGAAUAACAAGCUUUUAAAUUAUAUUCCACAGGCUAUGUUAGUGCUGCUUUUUUGAGUGAGGGCAGAGAGAACUGGAGGGGCUUCCCUGGUGGCUCAAAUGGUAAAGAAUCUGCCUGCAAUGUGGGAGACUCAGGUUUGAACCCUGGGUUGGGAAGAUCCCCUGGAGGAGGAAAUGGCAACCCACUCCAGUAUUCUUGCCUAGAGAAUUCCACAGACAGAGGAGCCUGGGGGGCUAUAGUCCAUGGGGUCGCACAGAGUCAGACACGACUGAGUGACUUAGCGCACACACACAAACUGGAGUUGAAAGAGUCUGGAAAGGCUUUAGGCAGAAAUGGGAUUUGAACUUGAACUUCAUCUUGAAGGUAAGGCAAAGUGUGGUGAGAAAGAAGCUCAGAGCCAGAAAGGAUUCAAGGACAGCUAGGGGAAGACCCCCAAGGCUGGAAGGAGCCUGAUAGCAGAGGGAGGGCAGCAGCUAAGUAAGGGCAGAUUGUAAGAGAAGACUGGAAAGCAUAGCCAGGGGGCUUUUUGGAAGGGUCCAAGUCCCAGGCUAGACUCAAUCCUGCCUGUGGCCCUGGCAUUGGAGGAUUACUGGAAAAUUUUGAGACCAGGCAUAAUUGCUGAGAACUUGGUUUGGGAAAGAAACAGAUAAAGUGCAGGAAAGAGGCCAGCCAGGAACUGUGGCACUCAUUUAGGCAUCGAGCUAGCCCCAGGGUGGAUUAUAUGGGGAUGUUCAUAUUCAAGGAUAUGACAAGGGACAUAGCUGGAAGAGCAGGUAAGAGGGCUCCAUCUCAGGGGCGUCAUUGUGGCUGAGUAGGGACAGGAUGCUGAAGAGGUCUGGACUGAAUGCCACCUUCAGCCCUUGGGAAAGCAGGAGAAUUAGUGAAGGGAGGCAAUAACACCAUGAAAGCCAGCAGCGUGUUUUGAGAUGCUGAACAGGGAGAGGUCAGCCUGUCAAAUUCUCCAGGCUGGGUAGCUAGUUUGUGGUUGCCAUGGUGGAGACGUUAACCCAGCCAAGCUCCUUGCCCUGUCUCAGAGUUCCCCACAAUACCAGCCUCCCUUCCCCUUCCCAUCCCAAGACAUAGUGGGUUUUCUUUGAUGGAGAAAUGAUCAAGAAAUGAUGGCUUGUGGAGAAGGAUCCUCCAGGAAGCCAGCAACCUGCUAAGGAGCUGAUGCCUGAGGAGGAGUGUGUGAAAGAGAAAGCAGAGAAGAAAAGACUCUGGAAGAAGCGUCAAAAGGAUCAGAAGCGAAGAGAGCACUUGGAGAAGGAUGGCAGGGAGUCCAACACGAAUGUCUGCAGGCAGAUCCCAAGAGCACCAAGUGCCAGGAGGUUGGAGAUUGACCCCUCAAUGCCCACAGAGAAAAGGGACUAAGUCAUUAGCCCCAAGGCAGAAGCCUGGGUCUCCAAGAAAAGAUGAACUGGGAGGAAGGAAGUACUCCAAAAGAAGAGAGCCCCAGGCAGUCAUAAGGCAGAGGUUAUCUCCAGGACUGCUGGCAGCUGCCUUACAACAGAGCCAGGAGCUGGCAAGUUAUUUGGAAAUUGCUCAUUCUGCAAUGAACUGCUGGGUCAGCUGGUGUGAGCCCUGACUGAUGUAGCCCCUGGGGCCUCUUCCGCCUGGGCAAGGCCUUGAUGGGACUGCAGCAUUUUGAAGAGGCAGUGGUGUGUUCUGGAGACUCUGAGAGGCGGGUCCCAGCCUGACGCAGUCUGGGAGCUAACAUUCCUGCCUCCUGCAAGUCACCCUGGUAAGGGGAUCAGGCCCGCUCUUAUGCCGAGAGGGCCACAGAGAGAACUGGCCGAGAUUGCAAUCACAAGUGCUGCUGCUUUCUGCCUCAGACAGGUAAGGGGUACAGGAUGCAUAGGAUAAGGGGGGCAUGGGCAGCCCUGCUGGAAGGUGUCCGGUGGCCCCCCUCUCCUUCCUCAGCAGUACCAGUGAAGAGGAAUCUCUGGGCUGCCUCUGUCAACUGAAUUUCUCCAUCCAUUUUUCCAUGUUGAGCUGGGGCCUUUAAGCCUCUUCUCCUGCAGUUGCCCUGGAAGUACUGCCUCAAGGGCCCCUGGCCUUCUAUCUCCACCCUUGCAUCAUCCCCAACCUGAGCCAAUCUGGUCCUUCCCCCAGACUCAGAGCAGAAGACCCGGUCCUCUCCACCUCCAGGACUCCUCAGAGGGCUGGGGCAUCCUGGAACUUGGGCCCCAGCAUCUACCUCACACCAGAUGAAGGAGAACCUGUCCCUGAUAAGGCCGGGCCGUGUGUGCAUCCCACAGGGAUAAAGGACACAGUGUAGGAGCAGUUCACUGCACGUUGUGAGACCUGUACUCUAAAACCAUGGAUGGGAACAGCCCUGGCAGUCAUACCUCUUGACACAGAGACAGUCAUACCUCUUGAGUGGAUGCAGGGCUCCUUUCUCUCAUCAGAGAAAGCUGAAAUAGCCUUUCUUUGGUUCUUAAGCAGAUGGCUUCUGGGAGCAGUAAGGAAAAAUAGAAUCCCCCAAGGCUCAAGAAGAGAUCUAUACAAAAAUUCAGAUUCUCAGACUAUAACAGACCUGUCUGUAGGGGCAUCUGAAGCUUGCUCUUGGUCUUGGGGAACUCACCAGCCAGAGCUCUGUGCUCAGGAAUGGGGUCACAGUGAUGAAUAAGGCCUAAGUCUUGAUCUGCAGCUUGAUGGAAGCCCACUUCUUCCUAAUCCCAGUUCUCACCCUGUCCUCUCCAGCCUCAGUUCUCAUGCCUUGCUUCCUGUCCACACUUCUACGCAUAUUCUGACCUCUCCUUUGUCCAGUGGUUCUGAUGCUCACCUCCUUCCACUGCUAGAAGAUUCACCAAGGGUAUGCAUUUGGGAAGCCCCUUACCAGCCCCUUCCUGGAGCUGGCAGAAUCCAUACAUCUCCAUAUACCCCACCUGCUGGCUCUCACACUGAUGGAGCCUCAGCAGAUACACAGGCUUCUGCUCAUUUGGUCUUACUUUUUCUCCACUCCAGCACUGGGCAUUGUAACUAGCAUUUCCCCCAUGUGAAUUUACUUAGUUUUUCUACCCAAGAUCACUGCCCCUAAAAAACACUAAAAUUCUCUAAUUUCUCUAUAAGAAACACGACCUCCUUCUAGUUUUUCCUCUAAGAUCUUGACAGCUCCUCCUGGCUGGUUCCUCCCUGACUCUGCUUGGGACUCUCAGUUCAUUAAAAUGUGGAUCUGCAGGCCUCCCGGAAUGCUUUUCUUUGGAGAACAGUUUAUCAGGAUAAAUGACUCUUGCUGCCCUAUGGGUCUUACUCAACACCAUUUGUACCUAGAGAUAGGCGGCGCUGAGACACCUCCUUUGUUUAAGGCUUUCCCAGGUUCUUUUGUUUACGGUUGCAGGCCUGUUAAAUACUGUAUGGCGGAAUGCAGGCUGGCAUUACAAGUUGUGUCGCCUUGGGCAGAUUUCUUAACACCUGUGCGUCAGUUUCCUCUUCUGUACAAUGUGGGUGAUCCCUACCUCACAGGGCUGCUAUGAGGGCUGAAAGAGAAAGUGUGAGAAAAUACCUACCAAAAGUCUGGGACAUAGUGAGUGUUCAAUAAACUGAUUUUUAUCUGAA